UCUCUCCCAGCUCCGCUUGAUCACACAGAUGUAGUGUGUGCUUGGCGUUUUCAGGGAGAGAAAGGAAGGCUCUCCUAAUGCGCGACAGAAUUGCCCACGGUGGCCUCUGUUCCUGGGAGUGCAACAUCU